rnacentral:rRNA from 1 species
AUUGAACGCUGGCGGCAGGCCUAACACAUGCAAGUCGAGCGGAUGAAGGGAGCUUGCUCCUGGAUUCAGCGGCGGACAGGUGAGUAAUGCCUAGGAAUCUGCCUGGUAGUGGGGGAUAACGUCCGGAAACGGGCGCUAAUACCGCAUACGUCCUGAGGGAGAAAGUGGGGGAUCUUCGGACCUCACGCUAUCAGAUGAGCCUAGGUCGGAUUAGCUAGUUGGUGGGGUAAAGGCCUACCAAGGCGACGAUCCGUAACUGGUCUGAGAGGAUGAUCAGUCACACUGGAACUGGGACACGGUCCAGACUCCUACGGGAGGCAGCAGUGGGGAAUAUUGGACAAUGGGCGAAAGCCUGAUCCAGCCAUGCCGCGUGUGUGAAGAAGGUCUUCGGAUUGUAAAGCACUUUAAGUUGGGAGGAAGGGCAGUAAGUUAAUACCUUGCUGUUUUGACGUUACCAACAGAAUAAGCACCGGCUAACUUCGUG